CCGACCCUCAGACAGGCGAGGCCCCGGGCAGGACCCGAGGCCGCAAUGUGCGUUCGAACAAUCAGUGCUCAAUGUGUCCUGCAAUUCACACCAAAUCUCGCAGCUG
rnacentral:rRNA from 1 species